GCCGGUGGUUCUCGCGAGGGGGUCACACCCGGUCCCAUCCCGAACCCGGUAGUUAAGCCCCUCAGCGCCGAUGGUACUGCGGCUUCUGUCGUGGGAGAGUAGGUCACCGCCGGCU
rnacentral:rRNA from 1 species